AUUGAACGCUGGCGGCAUGCCUUACACAUGCAAGUCGAACGGCAGCACGGGAGCAAUCCUGGUGGCGAGUGGCGAACGGGUGAGUAAUGUAUCGGAACGUACCUUUCAGUGGGGGAUAACGUAGCGAAAGUUACGCUAAUACCGCAUAUUCUGUGAGCAGGAAAGCAGGGGAUCGCAAGACCUUGCGCUGAUUGAGCGGCCGAUAUCAGAUUAGCUAGUUGGUGAGGUAAAGGCUCACCAAGGCGACGAUCUGUAGCGGGUCUGAGAGGAUGAUCCGCCACACUGGAACUGAGACACGGUCCAGACUCCUACGGGAGGCAGCAGUGGGGAAUUUUGGACAAUGGGCGCAAGCCUGAUCCAGCCAUGCCGCGUGAGUGAAGAAGGCCUCGGUUGG
rnacentral:rRNA from 1 species